UACAGAGGUCUCAAGCGUUGUUCGGAUUCAUUGGGCGUAAAGGGUGCGUAGGUGGCGCUGUAAGUCGGGUGUGAAAUUUCGGAGCUUAACUCCGAAACUGCAUUCGAUACUGCGGUGCUUGAGGACUGGAGAGGAGACUGGAAUUCAUGGUGUAGCGGUGAAAUGCGUAGAGAUCAUGAGGAAGACCAGUGGCGAAGGCGGGUCUCUGGACAGUUCCUGACACUGAGGCACGAAGGCCAGGGAGCAAACGGG
rnacentral:rRNA from 1 species